AACCCAUGGAGAGGGUACUGUCUCAAUAAGUUCUUAUAUCUCUCACAUGCAUCAUAUAAGAUUUCUAAGUCAAUCUGAACGAAGGAAGAUAUAUUAUUCUUCAACUU
rfam:Gossypium raimondii Chr09_contig_961, whole genome shotgun sequence.